GUGUGUGUUUGUGUAUAUAUAUACCCUUUUUUUUUUUUUUUUUUUUUGUAGAGACUGGGUCUUGCUUUGUUACCCAUGCUGGUCUUGAACUUCUGGCUUCAAACAAUUCUCAUGCCUCAGCCUCCCAAAGUGCUGAGAUUACAGGCAUAAACCACAAUGCCUGGCCCCUGUGUGUGUACAUACAAAGUCAAAGUGCUAAACCUGGCGCCUAGGAAACAUCCCCACCUAGGCAUUGCUUGCAACAGUCGGUAUUUUGUGCACCUGUGCUUUUAUUUCAGGAGCUGGGACAGUUAUAUUCAUCAGAACAGCACGGUGUCAAGGCCCUCACCCCCAGAAAGCUUAGGAGACACUGUUUUAUGGAGGAGAGUGAGAUUGGAGGAAGCCCUGACUCCAGGUCUCCUGAUCCUUCCUACACAAAGCGAAGCUGAAAAAAAGUGCAGGACACUCCAUUUCCUCCUGGGACCAGACAGGGAAGCCAGAGCCACCAUGGAUGUCAAAUUCCGGCAAGGAAACACCAGUAUAGCAAAAUCUCCACAUCACAUUUUAAAGCUCACACAAUGGCUCAAAGAGAACCCACAUCAAAAAACCGAAUUCCUAGCUCAGGUGAGAUCACCAAAGUUGCCUGUGAGGCUUCGUGGAACCUGCAGGUAGAAAGGACAUCUUUAUUUCGAGCUGCAGCCCAGUUGCUUCUGCGUCUUGGAGCCCCUUGAAAGGACCCUCUCCCUUCAACAGUACAUAGGGAGGCCAUUUCUGGGGAGAAAUGUAGACUGUCCUUAGACUCCUGAGGUUUUUACACUUGCUUGCUGACUCUGUGGACUUUGACUUCAUCAUUAAACAUCUUAUAAUGAUGUAAUUUGCUUUGACUGUAAGUGUAGAACAGGACGCUGUUCCUGAAUCAGGAAACAAGGGACUGGUGACCUGAACUGCCACCACCCUCCCUGGUGCUCAGAUGCAAUGAAAUCGUGAGGCAACAAAUCUAUGGCUAGGUAAAGGGUCAACUCCAUUUCAGCAAAUGUUUCAGAUGUUCCUUCCUGCCUAGUAAUGUUCCAGCUUUACCCCAGCCUUAAUCUUUUAAAAUGUAUAUUUUCCUUAGCGUUGAUUUUAAAGUAAUUCGUAUGUAUUUAUUACACUGGGUUUGUUGCAGUAAGCCACCUCGAAUGUUGCUGUAGAAUUAAAGUAAGCAAAUAAAUGUGUGGUUCUCCAAGGA
ensembl:lncRNA novel transcript